CUGACGGUAGUCGUAUGCUCGUCUCCGAGACUAAGCCAUGCAAGUCCAAGUACACGUCCUUGAACGACGGAAACUGCGAACGGCUCAUUAAAUCAGUUGCGAUCUACUCGGCGUUCCGCGCCGCCGGAUAACCGUAGUAAUUCUAGGGCUAAUACGUGCGAAGCGCCCGAAGCCGCGAGGCGACGGGCGUUCUCGCCGGAUGUAGGAACCGACCCGGGGACCGCCGGGGCAACCCGGCGCCCCCGAGACGGGGCGAACCACGGUGAAAUGACGGAUCGUCGGCCCCGCGCCGGCGACUCGCCGAAUGAGUUUCUGACCUAUCAACUCGAGACGGCGGGGUAGAGGCCCGCCGCGGUAACGACGGGUAACGGGGAAUCAGGGUUCGAUUCCGGAGAGGGAGCCCGAGAAACGGCUACCACUUCCAAGGAAGGCAGCAGGCGCGCAACUUACCCU
rnacentral:rRNA from 1 species